rnacentral:rRNA from 1 species
AGAGUUUGAUCAUGGCUCAGGACGAACGCUGGCGGCGUGCUUAACACAUGCAAGUCGAACGGGGUUAAGAAAAAAGCUUGCUUUUUUCUUAACUUAGUGGCGGACGGGUGAGUAACGCGUGGAUAACCUGCCCAUCAGAAGGGGAUAACACCGGGAAACUGGUGCUAAUACCGGAUACGUACGUAAAAAGGCAUCUUUUUACGUGGAAAGGUGACGCAAGUUGCCGCUGAUGGAUGGGUCCGCGUCCCAUUAGCUAGUUGGCAGGGUAAUGGCCUACCAAGGCAACGAUGGGUAGCCGGCCUGAGAGGGUGGCCGGCCACACUGGGACUGAGAUACGGCCCAGACUCCUACGGGAGGCAGCAGUGGGGAAUCUUCCGCAAUGGGCGAAAGCCUGACGGAGCAACGCCGCGUGAGUGAUGAAGGCUUUCGGGUCGUAAAACUCUGUCUUGGGGGAAGAAAAAAAUGACGGUACCCCAGGAGGAAGCCCCGGCUAACUACGUGCCAGCAGCCGCGGUAAAACGUAGGGGGCGAGCGUUGUCCGGAAUUACUGGGCGUAAAGGGCGUGUAGGCGGUUUAAGAAGUCAGGGGUGAAAUACCGCAGCUCAACU